AUUGAACGCUGGCGGCAGGCCUAACACAUGCAAGUCGAACGAGUGGCGGACGGGUGAGUAAUGUCUGGGAAACUGCCUGAUGGAGGGGGAUAACUACUGGAAACGGUAGCUAAUACCGCAUACCAUCGGAUGUGCCCAGAUGGGAUUAGCUAGUAGGUGGGGUAAAGGCUCACCUAGGCGACGAUCCCUAGCUGGUCUGAGAGGAUGACCAGCGACACUGGACGUGAGACAAGGUCGAGACUCCUACGGGAGGCAGCAGUGGGGAAUGUUGCACAAUGGGCGCAGGCCUGAGGCAACCAUGCCGGGUGUAUGAAGAAGGCCUUCGGGUUGUAAAGUACUUUCAGCGGGGAGGAGUUACCCGCAGAAGAAGCACCGGCUAACUCCGUGCCAGCCGCCGCGGUAAUUC
rnacentral:rRNA from 1 species